rnacentral:lncRNA from 1 species
AGCCUCGUCCGACUGGCUUCUUUGACUGUGGAUAAGCCUGUAAAGCUCUUGCGUGUCUUUCCUGGCCUGGUGGCUCGUCUUUUCUGUGUGUGGUCAUGUAAUGGCCCGUCGUCUGCGUGGACCACAGUUUAUUAAUUCACUCGCCUCCUGGUUGCGUCCGGCUUUCGGCAGUGCUGAACGAAGCUGCUGCUGCCCCGUUCGGGUGCAGGAUUUUGUGCGGGUGUGUGUUUUCAGCUCCCCUGGGUGAACGCCAAGGGACGCAGCUGCAGAGGCAGCCGCACGGAAGCGUGUCCAUCCCCCUCUAUUCUCUGCGCGCCUGCGUCCUCGCCUCCGCCCGCGCAGGGGACUGCCUGCUCCUCGUCCUUCAGCACGGGCAGCGUCAGGGUUUGGGACCUGACCGCUUCCCUGGGAGUGGAGUGGUGACUGACAGUGUCCGGAGGGCGUGUGAGGCCGGGCAUCUUCCACGCACUCUGUCAUCUGUUUGUCUUGUUUGCCGAGGUGUCUGUUCAGGUCUUCUGCCCAUCUUGUAAUUGGGUGGGUUGUUUUCUCGUCGAGUUUUAAGAGCUCUUUGUGUGUCUUGGAUAAGAGUCCUUUAUCAGGUGUCUUUUGCAAAUAUUUUUUCCUAGUCUCCAGCUUGUCGUCUCACUCUCUUGAAAGUAUCAGAAUUUCCUUCCACUUUGUGGCAGAUUAGAUGUGGAUUUUUUGAAGUAGGGAGCGAUAUGUUUCAAGCCUAAUUUUUGUAAUGUUUUCAGUCCCUACACUUAAAAUUUUUCCUCUGAAACAGUAACUGUAUUCCUGAAGAGCUGUUUGGAAGUCGAAUUAUUUAUAUGCAUUGAGCGAAAUUACUGGCCAGAGUAGCUUGUUACGCGUUUAUUCUAAAGUGGAGGAUGACAAAGGGGGGGGGGUUAAUUGCCUCCAGUUUGGUGAAUCUGACUUGUUUUACCAUAAUCUACUUAUUUUAGAAUUCCUCUAACUUUGACAUCUCUGAGUUCUUUCACAUGUGCUUAAAUAUGCUUUCUGCUUCGUACAGGGAAGAGUCCCAGUGCCAUGUGCCUCACAGGUGCCAGUGGAAGGUGGCGUUUAGGGAGGGACAUUCACAGCCUUGUUUCCUCAGGUGGUGGACGAGGUUUAAAGGUCAUUUCCCGGAUUCAGAGAGAGCGUAUGCUUCUUUCGGUACCGGUUCCUCAAGCUCAUGACCUUUUUUAUGUGGAAGACAAAAAUUCCAGCCGCUGUCUUUUUGCUGGUUUGAGUCUGAAGUCCCAGUGAAGAGCCGCGUGCCCGGGCGGGCAGCAGGAGAGGCGGCCAGCGAGGCAGCGUUGCUGGGGGCGCUGAGGGCCUGGCAUCAGGGGCCCUGUGAGCGCCUCUUUCUUUGCUUCUCGGUGCAUCCAUCCCGCAGCUGUGGAGGGGACCGUGAGCUAAGCCCUGCUGUGCCCCGGGGAUGUGGUCCUAGGGUGGAUGCCCCCGAGAUGAGGGCUCCCCUGGGCAGUGGGCCUCUGAGCUCCAACUGAAGAACGGGUGGGCCCCCCAGGGCUGGGGGCCGAGAGGCAGAGCAGCCGGACGCUGCUGUCCAGUGGAACCCGCCGGAGGGCUUGAGACCCGAGUCGUGGCGGUUCAAGGAACCCAGAGGCCUGGGCCAUCUGGCGGAGGGGCGAGGAGAAGGGGCGUGGUGGCCUUUUCCAGAGGGCAGCGGGGGUGUGCCUGGUGCGCUUCGUGGGAGAAAACCUCAUCGCGUUGGGUUGAAGACGUAACGGCUGGAGCCUGCCCUGGGCACAGGGGGGCUGGAAUCAUUUUAGAGCAAGAUGCUGCUGUUCCACUUGGGAAGAGCGGAGCGAGGGUGUUGGCGAUUGCGUGACCGAGACACCGAAGCGAGCUUCGUGGCCAGCGAGGGCCCGGGCUGGCUUCGGAGCAGACGUGGGUCCUGGCGCGCAGAGUUCUCUUCACCGGAAGGAUCGCUGAGCAUGACGGGAAGCACAGGUCUCCUAGGCGCCACCCGAGUCGUCUGCGGGUGCGGGAGAAAGGAAAGUGUAUCCAGACACCCCCGUGGGCGAAACUUGCUCACUUUUAGCACAGGGUGGGGGGAAGGGCAUGAAAUAUUCUGUAUGCGUCGGCUUUUCCUUGAAAAGAGUGGGUGUCUCUCCAAGGGCUGGAGUUGUCGUGACGCAGGUUAGUGUGGUUUCCGACGCUUUGAACUCUGCCGCCCUUCCUCAGGCGAGACGUCUAGGGAGGCCCCUGGAAAGACAGACUGGCUAAGAGACAGAACAGCGGAUGCGCCAUGUCCUCUGCUGCCUCCGUCUCUCCGCAGAUGCUUGAGAGAAGCAGCUUUCAAUGGAAAGGGCAUAAAAAGAGUGGGGAUGUCGCAGGAGAGGGAGUCAAAGAUUUUAGAGCAGGGCUUUGUUUGUUUAAAAGAACUUGAAAUGAUUUAGUCUACUUUUAGAACAGUUAGGUGACAGGAGCAAGGUUACAAGCUGUGAGUGACCUGACCCGGUCGUUUUCUGGUGCGCUCGUGUAAGCGGUCCGUCCUGGUCCUAGGAUCCGGGAUCCAGUGGCGGGUCACCAGGUCCCCUCAGUGCCGACGCGUCUGAGCUGCUCACCGGCUGUUGGCCUCUGAGAUCCUGGCCUAGGGCCCCGGCCCCUCGAUUCCUCCUCCUGCCCCCACUCCGCCCUCCUCCCCGCUCUCCUGCUCUGUCCCUUCUCCCUGUUCCGCCCCCUCCGCUCGGCUGGAUUCCAGGGCCGGUGCUGUGUCCCGUCCUGCCUCUAAGCCCGAGCCCAUCCCCUGGCAGGACCCCAGACCUAGACGAGCAGAGCAUCAGCCCGCACGGGGCACCGCAUGCGGCUCCGGGGCCACGCUGGGUGGGUCCCGCACAGUCAUUCGUGCCCAGAAAUGCCAGCCCCAGGAGGCGGGCAGGGACCUGGCCUUGUUCCUUGUGUCCCCGGGGCCUCGCACAGCGCUGGCGGAGAGCCGGCCCCAGCCCGGAGAGGACGGCGGCGGGCAGCGGGUGCGCCCACGCUCUCCCCAGACCGCCUGCCCGCGGCCCCUGCGCCUGGGCUGCCCUCUCCUGGGCCCCCAACAUGUCGUUGUUAAAAUAGGCCUGUUGCAGCUCUAAUUUUGAUUAUGUCCAUGUACAUUUAAAAAAAAGUUUUUUAUUUUGGUCUUUUUAGGGCCGCCGCACCCAUGGCAUAUGGCAGUUCCCAGGCUGGGGUGGGAUCAGCUGCAUCUGCCGUCCCACAGGCAUGGCCAUGCAGGGUCCUCAACCCAUGAGGGAGGCCAGGGGUCACGUCCUCUUGGAUACUAGUUGGGUCACUACUGCUGAGCCACAAUGGGAACUCCGGAAUUAAAACAUUUUAAUUGUAUUUUCGAUUUGGAACGGGGAGAAUGCUUUUGUGAACAUUGUGUAUGUUACCGUUCAUCCUUCUAAAUCUUGGGGCAGCUUGGUGAGUUAUAAUUUCGCACUCUUAUCUUGGCAGUAGAUACCACGCAGCACUGCCUAAAAGGACCUGAAUACCAGACCCUUUUCAGCAGGAGUCCCAGUGGGCGGUGGGGUUUGAGGGGUGAUUCAGCAGGAGCAUUUAGCGGAUUGCUGAGCCAGGGCUGUCUCAACUUAAGUUCGCUCUUAGCUCCUGAAGUUUGCCGUUUUAAUGAUGUCUUUAGAGAAGAUGAGUUUUUUGUUUUUGUUGGUCAUUGUUUAAACCUAAAGAGAUGCUAGGUUCAGAUAUGAACUAGCCUACGGUGAACCUCAAGCCGCUGCUGUAAAGUGUGUUCAGUAUUGCGGUUUUGAGACGCUGUCAUGUUAAAUGUGCAGUGACACUCAAAGGUCGAGUCAAGGUGGUGACGGAUUUGCACGGUAGCAGGUCCCUAAAGGGGUUCGAAUCGAUAGGCCUAACCGCCGGGCAGCUUUCUCCCCGCUUCUCCUUAGUUUUGUGGGUAAGAGAAAGGGAGCUCCUGCAUUCCAUGUGCCUGUAAAAUGCGCUGGCCGUUGCUGUGGCCCGACCGUCUCCAGGGUGUAUCUGCAUCCGCCGUCAAGCAGCAGUUGGGGCUGCAGCGCCACUGAGACGCAGCUGCUGCUGGUUAAACCGCCCCAGCUCUGCACCCAAAGCUGCGCUGAGGUUUCAGACUCCGAGGAGGCGUCCUGAGAGCAGGGCAGGGCCCUGGGUGGUCGGGAGGACAGGAUGCUUGGGUGCGGGGGUGGGGGGGGAGGGCUCGAAACCUCCGGCUGCACAGGGGCCGGCAGGGCAGGUGAUUUUCCUGCCCACGGUGCCCCCUCAGCCCUCCCUCCUCCCUCCCACAUCUUAUCAUCCCUCCACUUCCCAGAGUUGGUCCUCGGCUUUUUGCUCUGUCUUCACUACAACGUUCAGAAUUGUUCUGAAUGUGAAAAUACCUCUCUGCAGGGGUGCCCGUGGCUCCUGCCCCUCUGACAGGUGCCCAGGCUCUGGCUGCCUGCUUCCUUCGCUGUCACUGCUGUGGGGUGCUCACGCGUGACAGCCAACUAGCAGCCCCUGCCUGGAGGCUGGUCGUCACAGGGGAUGGGGACACGUGCGUCCCCGCGGCUCACUCCUGGAGGAUCUGGGCCAGCUCAGCAGACUCCACGUGCCAGAGGGUGACCGCUUGCACCUCUGUGGGCCCUGUGGCCUCUGUCAAAGCCGCUCCCCUGCCCGGUCUCACAGAGGCAGCCUGGGCGAGGGUGCACGCGGGAGCCCUGCCCUGCCCUGGGAGCACACGCUGGGUGGAGGGCUGGGGAGUCGGCUUUCUUACUUGUUUCUUACAAGUGGCGUACUUCUGAGCAUCAUUGUUUGACGUGGUUGUACCCAGGAUUUUUAUUAACGUUUAAACCUGUGUGGUGGGUCAUGUGGUGUCAGAUUGAGUGCUGGGUGUUUCUGCACUGUGCACUCUCUGUUCCUUAAAACAGCCCCACGUUUCCUUGCAGAGUAAAAGCCGCCCUCAUUCUCCAGGAGAACGUAAUGCUGACAGCAGCUGCCAGAGUCGCGAGCCAGAGUUUGACAAGAAAUUGAAGAAAAAUGAACCAAAUUAGGUGGUUCCUGCAACAGAAUGCUGCGCAUUUUCUGCUCUCUACAAAUGGUUUUGAGGCGCCAGAAGAGCCCAGCAGUAGGUCCUUCUCCGAGACUCCCUGUCAGUGAAGAUGCGGGACCUCAACGGGGAGAGCCGGCCCGUCCAGACCGCCAGCGCGACCACGACCGGAUCCAGCCACAGCUUCUUCAGGAUGUUCGACGGGAACCCGCGGAGGGACGUUAGGCUGGAAGCGUCCAGGGAGAACAGCAGACCUCGUGCCAGCCGGAAGCCCCGCAGAGCAUGCAGGGCGGUCGGAGAAAGACGAGAGGAGCGUGACCAGCCUGGACUUCAUCCGGAGGUUCUCCCUGCCGCCUGGCGCCCAGCUGAGCGCGUCAUGGCUGCGGCCGCCACCAGCAACCUGCGUGACCUCCAGGACAGAAUCACCUGAGAGGCGACGGGCCCGCCCGCGGCUUGCGGCGUCGCGCCCGGUCCUCCUGGCAGAGGAGAGGCCUCCUGCUUCCCCGGGCAGACAGGGAAGCCCGGCGGGUCCCUGCACUUCUGCUUCAGAGCGCUGGAGCGUGUGCAGAGCUUCUGACUCGGAGCGCACCUGUCCCCAGGUGAGGUCUGGGAGGAGCCUUAACUGCAGCCACCCCUGAGCGGGAAAGGGCAGGAGCAGCAGCAGCACAAUCCCUGCUGGGACGUCGCCACCUGCCUGAGCCUCCAGUUCGCCAUGGCCGGCACGGCCACGCUCUGUAAACCUGUGUGAAAAGUACUACGGGGGGACCUGCACGCCGGACUUCGCGCUGCGUCUCAAGCCGUCGGAAUUCAGCCGUUUUAACUGUUGGGUGAUGCCACCUGGACCUUGGUGGUUUAUUUUUAAAGUAGGGUCUUAAAUAACAACGCAGAUUUCCCAAGACCAAAAUCCCAGAGGUGACACACUAAGUGACAGGAACCUCACCCGCAAGCCCAGGUCGCGGUGGUGUCCGGGGGCGGGACAGCGGGCUUCCAGGCUCCCGCGAGGGCAGGGCGCGUUCUGGUUACGGGCGCUGUGGACGGGCAGGAACGAAGCGUCUUGUCGUCCCUGCCUCUGAAUUAACGCGGACGGGGCCUCCUGAGUUCACCUUCAUUUGGGAAUCAAGGGUCACGAGUACAUUUAACUUAAAGCUGGCUCUUGCUGUGCGUUGCCGGAGGCAUAGCUUACAGAUCUGACAUGGGGAACAGAGUUGCUUAAGUACCCGUCAGCCCUGGUCCCUAAGGAGCAGCAGUUCUGGGAGUUCCCGUCGUGGCACAGCAGUAAUGAACCCAACUGGUAUCCAUGAGGACGCGGGUUCGAUCCCUGGCCUCGCUCAGUGGGCUAAGGAGCGUGAGCUGUGGUGUGGAGCGCAGACGUGGCUCAGAUCCCGCCUUGCUGUGGCUGUGGUGGAGGCUGGCAGCUGCAGCCCCAGUUCAGCCCCUAGCCUGGGAAGCUCCACAUGCCACGGGUGUGGCCCUAAGGUCAAAAAAAUAAAGGAAAAAAA